AGGAAUAGCAGCUCUACGCUACUCACCAAGGAAUACAUUGAUGCCUUACCAAAUGGAUGGGAGGAUUAUGCAUGGCGCAGAAUCAAUAAAGGAAUACAACUGUACGUGUUUACUCACACGUUUACACCAGGAAUGCUGGGCUAUCUUCUUCCUUCCUUGUUAGUCUGGUCUUAAUGAAACUCCAACUCUGGUGCAGUAAUCGUUGUCAGAAUAAAUCUUUAUGCAUCGAGAAGCUUUCGUCAGUGCUUCCUGAAACACCACCAUAUUUCCCCGGCAGUUUGGGCGAUGUGCUGUUAUUGGUAACUCUGGUGAUCUUUUGAAAACAAAGUUCGGAUAAGGAGAUAGAUACUUACGAUGCGGUUCUUAGAGAAAAUGGUGCUCCAAUUCAGAACUACAAGGAAUAUGUGGGAGAAAAAAGUACCUUCCGUCUUCUUAAUCGAGGGUCAGCGAAAGCCCUUGACAAAGUGGUGGAGUUGGAUG